UCUCACUUCUUGUCCAGCGCCCUUGCCAUUCACUUUUGAACCCUUACCUGUCUUCUUCAUUCUCUCCAACUUUCUCUCUAUCCACUGAAAUUAUUGUUGCUUCGGAUAGUGGCGAGCAGAUCGGCUUGUUAUUUAAAGUGGCAGUGUAGUGUCUAGAUCUGUGGGCCUGUCACGUGAUAUGACGUGGGCACGAAGAUAUGGAUAAG
rnacentral:lncRNA from 1 species